CAGCCCGGUAAUUCCAGCUCCAAUAGCGUAUAUUAAAGUUGUUGCGGUUAAAAAGCUCGUAGUUGAAUUUCGGAAUUGAUGCAUCGGUCGUGCCUUAAGGGGCAUGAACUGGUGUAGCCAAUUUCUCAUCUUCUGGUGAAUUGUGAUGUUCUUAAUUGGGUGUCUCAAUGAACUGGAAUUUUUACUUUGAAAAAAUUAGAGUGUUUAAAGCAGGCAGUGAUUUGCUUGAAUACAUUAGCAUGGAAUAAUGAAAUAGGACGGUGGUUCUGUUUUGUUGGUUUCUAGGAUCACGUAAUGAUUAAUAGGGACAGUUGGGGGCAUUAGUAUUCAAUUGUCAGAGGUGAAAUUCUUGGAUUUAUUGAAGACUAACUAUUGCGAAAGCAUUUGCCAAGGAUGUUUUCAUUAAUCAAGAACGAAAGUUAGGGGAUCAAAGAUGAUUAAGUAUGUCGUAGUCCUAACCAUAAACUAUGCCGACUAGGAAUCAGACGAUGUUAAUUUUUUAAUGACUCGUUUGGUACCUUACG
rnacentral:misc_RNA from 1 species